CAAAAUUCACUUUGAGAAACUUCACGAUGACAAAACACUUCAAAAUGGGAAAUCUAACCCAAUUUCCGGUUUUCUGGCCCAAUUUCCCACGUUUUUCACCGAUUUUAAGCUUGAAAAUCACGA
ensembl:ncRNA Y55F3AR.4 ncRNA